UGGCGAACGGGUGAGUAACACGUGGGGAAUCUGCCUAUAAGUGGGGGAUAACAUUCGGAAACGGAUGCUAAUACCGCAUAUAUUCAAAAACCGCAUGGUUUCUGAAAGAAAGACGGCUUUGCUGUCGCUUAUAGAUGAUCCCGCGGCGUAUUAGUUAGUUGGUGGGGUAAUGGCCUACCAAGACCAUGAUACGUAGCCGACCUGAGAGGGUGAUCGGCCACACUGGGACUGAGACACGGCCCAGACUCCUACGGGAGGCAGCAGUAGGGAAUCUUCCACAAUGGGUGCAAACCUGAUGGAGCAAUGCCGCGUGAAUGAAGAAGGUCUUCGGAUCGUAAAGUUCUGUUAUUAGAGAAGAACAAGUCAAGGAGUAACUGUCUUGACUUUGACGGUACCUAACCAGAAAGUCACGGCUAACUACGUGCCAGCAGCCGCGGUAAUACGUAGGUGACAAGCGUUGUCCGGAAUUAUUGGGCGUA
rnacentral:rRNA from 1 species